UCACCCUCCCCGGACACCCCAUAGUCACAGAAUUCGCCCAAAAUAGCACGAAUUUCGAAUUGAGCUGUUCGUAACUUGGCAAUCCUGGUUCUGGUGCUGCAAUAUCAGCAGGAAAGAAGGAGAAUAGCGGUUGUACGUAGGGUUUCAACUUUAGGUUUAAAUAAGUUUAGAAAUUUUUAACAUUUAACCCCUCUAUCUUUUACUACUUUACAUUUAGUAUGUAAAGCUUUAAAUUUUUACAUAUAAAGUGUAUAACUAGUUGUUUUAUUUUAA